GAUACGCAACGACGCGCAGUGGACAAAAAUGAGAUAAAAAUGGGCGAAAAAACUCGUUAGUUAUACGUACGAGACACGCGCGAGUCAAAUUCCCGAGAAUUUUUAAUCUGGAAAUUUGCUGCAUCGAGACACACGGCGCCAUAAUGGACGACUCAUCCGAAAAAUAGGACAAUAAAUGAAGAAAGACGGUAAUUCUGAAGAUCUUGAUUCUAACUAAGAAAAGAAUCUUUCUCCAAACCAACUGUAAAAUAAUUUCGCGUACAUUGCGAGAUAUUGCCUCUGCAUUUUCAUCGAUCAAUAGCUUGCCGACAGAAGGAAACAAUGUGGCUCCGACUAUUCACACGCGGAGCACAAAGAGUCCGUCACUCGUGGUGGAGCCGUGGCGUAUUUUGUAUCGAGUUCGAUGCUUAGUUGGCUUGAAAAGUGUCGACGAUGUCUAUAGGCACGAUGGAAAAAACACUGGCGAAGAAGAAGCGACGAUAAGGUUUCAGAAAUUGUGCGACACACCGUCGGCGGCCGAGUUCAUUGCUUUGCUGGUCAAUAGCCAUUGCGUUUCACCGUCAAAACAACCGGAGCCUUUAUUAAUUUAUAGCGAGUGACUCAAUGGCUCGAGCGAGGCUACUGAAUAUCGCUGCUGCGCGUUUUCUAAAGCCAAACGGAUCCUUCUUUCCACACCUGCCAUUCAGAUAAGUUCCACUUGUUCAGCAAAAUCCCCAAUGCAAGCCCUUCAGGGUGCUAUUGAAUUAAUGAAACGUAUGCUUCAGUUUAUAAAUUACAGCAGGUAGUUUAUAGCUUAUAAUAUCUUGUUAGGCUAUUAUCAAGGAAUUGAAAGUUUCUGGUUUUCAGUGAAUAACGGGAGGAUAUUUCUGCAAUUCGAAAUGUAAAAUUCCAAUUAAUAAUACCAACAGAUUUUUAUUCGCGCGAGAAUUAACAAUGAGAGCUUUGAGAUAAAAGAAAGUUAUUUCUAGAGAACA